CUUCUCUUCUGAAAGAAUAAAAAUAUGAUGCUACCCAGACAAGGAAAGAAUCCCAAAUUUUGACGUUAAGACACCCAGAACCAUGACCUCUGUGUCCCUCCUGACAGUCCACCUCCCUGUGCCUGGUCUGUCCCUCACUCCUGCAAAAGACGAGGAGGAAAUUAAAUUCAACUCACAUGGGCCAGUCGAUCAAAUCUGGCAAAGAGCUCGUUGAGCAUCCUGACCAGCUCCUGAGCAGACAAGGUCGUGGAGAGCCAUUUUGCCACCAGGGAAGGAAUAUGGAACACCACCUAUGAUUCUCUGCAUGGACCGUGGCUCUGCCUUCACUUCUGCUGACCCCUUUGCUCAGAAUUCAUGUAUUUGUGUUUUUCACUUGGCUGACUUCGUCUCAAAUAAAGCCAAGAAGAAUCA
ensembl:lncRNA novel transcript